rnacentral:rRNA from 1 species
UACGUAGGGGGCAAGCGUUGUCCGGAUUUACUGGGCGUAAAGAGCGCGUAGGCGGAAGCUUAAGUGUGGCCUGAAAGCCCCCGGCUCAACCGGGGAACUGCGUCUGAUACUGGAUGGCUUGAGUUCGGGAGAGGGAUGCGGAAUUCCAGGUGUAGCGGUGGAAUGCGUAGAUAUCUGGAGGAACACCGGUGGCGAAGGCGGCAUCCUGGACCGACACUGACACUGAGGAGCGAAAGCCAGGGGAGCAAACGGG